AUAUUCCAGAUGUUUCACAAAAUGUUGCCUUAAUGGAACAAACAAAGUUACCUGAAGGAACUGCAGAUAUAAUUAACGAAGAAUGUCGAGGAAAAAAUGGACAAACAAAGCUGCAAAGAGUUUUGGAUAAAUCGCAUGUUGAAACUAAAUGCGAAAGUUUUAGCGACCCAAAAAUAUUUAAGAAACGAUACAAUUCCUAAAAAACGACAUCAAAUGCACAUAACAAACACAAUUAUGGAUAAACAAGACGAUAUCAAAAACCAGACAAAAAAGCAAAAAGAAAAAUUCCAGAUUGUCAAGAAAAUUUGACCUUAAUGGAACAGGGAAAGUUGGUGAAAGACUUUUUUUUAAUUAGGUUGGAAAGUGCUAAGUAAAACGUCAGAAAGUUAAAGAAGGCGAAACUCAAGAUGAAUGUGAAGUGUGAAGAAAAAUGCCAACUCAAGUUACUUGCCAUAAAAACAUGAAAGAAGCGGCAGUAAUCUAAAUAAACUAAAUGAAAAAAACAUGGAUGAGAAGUUAGUUUUCCAAAAUAAAGACUUGAACAAUAAGAAAGUUCUUAAUGCUCGAAAGUUACAGCAAGAAACGAAAUAGAGCCAAUAACGUAAAAAUCGUCCAACGGAACAUACAAUUUAUAUUUUUUGCUUAACAUAACACCUUGCAUAACAUAAUACACUUUUCGUAUCAAUGGAAGUUCCUUUCUAUUGUCUUCUAAUUUUUCUAGAGAUAACAGCCCGAAUUGAACUUGGGAAUUUCUUGAGUGGAUUUUUGUGUUAGUUUGAAUCAGUUUCACAAAUCUUCUUAACACUAAUAAAAGCCGUUUUAUCUCAGUCCCGAAAACGAAAAACAUGUACGUGUCAUUCGUUCUAAUCUAGAAGUUUUAAUUGCGCCGAUAAAAAUAACAAUUUCGCCUGUUUUAAGCCUAUUUAUAAACUAUGGCCGAUAAAGUCAAUCAUGUGAAUUGUACCUGAGUGUAGUUCAGCAUUUACACACAGUUUGAGCGCCGUACUUUGCCUGUGAGUGGAAUCAGAAUACGAAAAUAGAGCGAUAAUAACAGGAAAAGAAUCGGAAAAAAUUUGGUCAAAUGCCUGGGGAAUGUUUGCCGAAAAAGUGAUGCCAAUUCUUUUUAUAUCCGUGUGUAAUUGUCCUUAUGAUCCUCUCGUGAUGUGGUGGUCAGAGUCGAGAAUAAAAAAUUGGAAACGGGGAGAAAUGGUUGAUAACCAUUUGGUAGAACUAGAAACCAGCAAUUUUCAUGACCCAAAUUCAAGCUGCUGGCUACUUGUUUGCCGUCUACAUUCCUCAUCUUUGAGAUCACCCACCUUAAUACCACAUUUUCCAACCUUGUCGGACAAGGCAGGUGGGCGCUAGAUGCAGACCCGAAGCCCUUUCCUAUCGCUACCAUAAUGGGAGAAGUGGCGUGGGCCCAAAAUUACCAUAGAUCGCAGUAAAAACGUAUCAACAAAGAACAAGGUAGAUAUUUUGCAAUGAGUUAUUGCCCCAGACUCGUGUACAGGGUGUGCCAAUGAGGAACUGGCGCUUACUUGGCUCAGAAGUGAAGACUUGAAAAAAAAACAGCUGCAUUUCACUGUGGGAUAAUGCAAAGCCGGACUGGUUUACUAGUUGUUGGUUGGAGCUUUACAAACCGUUUUCAACGGUACUGUUUAACUAUUACAGGCCAAGAAACAUGAACAAUUUGGGUAAUUAAUAUGCCCCGCGGAAACCUGCUUAGGAACGUAUGGUGGAAAAUGUAACAGAAAAAUAUGCAAACGGAGUGAAAUAAUCACAUAAAAACGUGGCGUUUAAUUUGAAUAAAACACUAAUUAAUAAGACUGAUUAUAAAGGGUAAUUAAAUAAUCUUCAAGCA
rnacentral:lncRNA from 1 species